rnacentral:ncRNA from 1 species
UCUUAUCUGGUAAAGCGAAUGAUUAGAGGCCUUAGGGUCGAAACGAUCUUAACCUAUUCUCAAACUUUAAAUGGGUAAGAACCUUAACUUUCUUGAUAUGAAGUUUAAGGUUAUGAUAUAUUGUGCCCAGUGGGCCACUUUUGGUAAGCAGAACUGGCGCUGUGGGAUGAACCAAACGUAAUGUUACGGUGCCCAAAUUAACAACUCAUACAGAAACCAUGAAAGGCGUUGGUUGCUUAAAACAGCAGGACGGUGAUCAUGGAAGUCGAAAUCCGCUAAGGAGUGUGUAACAACUCACCUGCCGAAGCAACUAGCCCUUAAAAUGGAUGGCGCUUAAGUUGUAUACCUAUACAUUACCGCUAAAGUAGAUGAUUUAUAUUAUUUAUAAUAUAAAUUUUGAAACUUUAGUGAGUAGGAAGGUACAAUGGUGUGCUUAGAAGUGUUUGGCGUAAGCCUGCAUGGAGCCGCCAUUGGUACAGAUCUUGGUGGUAGUAGCAAAUAAUCGAAUGAGACCUUGGAGGACUGAAGUGGAGAAGGGUUUCGUGUGAACAGUGGUUGAUCACGAGUUAGUCGGUCCUAAGUUCAAGGCGAAAGCCGAAAAUUUUCAAGUUUUAAAAAUGUCAAAUGAAAUAAUAAAUAAUAAAACACUUGAAUAAUUUUGAACGAAAGGGAAUACGGUUCCAAUUCCGUAACCUGUUGAGUAUCCGUUUGUUAUUAAAUAUGGGCCUCGUGCUCAUCCUGGCAACAGGAACGAUCAUAAAGAAGCCGUCGAGAGGUAUCGGAAGAGUUUUCUUUUCUGUUUUAUAGCCGUACUACCAUGGAAGUCUUUCGCAGAGAGAUAUGGUAGAUGGGCUAGAAGAGCAUGACAUAUACUGUUGUGUCGAUAUUUUCUCCUCGGACCUUGAAAAUUUAUGGUGGGGAUACGCAAACUUCUCAACAGGCCGUACCAAUAUCCGCAGCUGGUCUCCAAGGUGAAGAGUCUCUAGUCGAUAGAAUAAUGUAGGUAAGGGAAGUCGGCAAAUUAGAUCCGUAACUUCGGGAUAAGGAUUGGCUCUGAAGAUUGAGAUAGUCGGGCUUGAUUGGGAAACAAUAACAUGGUUUAUGUGCUCGUUCUGGGUAAAUAGAGUUUCUAUCAUUUAUGAUAGUUAUUUGUUCCCCGGAUAGUUAGUUACGUAGCCAAUUGUGGAACUUUCUUGCUAAAAUUUUUAAGAAUACUAAUUUUUAAUUAGUUCUUUUAAAUUAUAACGAUUAUCAAUUAACAAUCAAUUCAGAACUGGCACGGACUUGGGGAAUCCGACUGUCUAAUUAAAACAAAGCAUUGUGAUGGCCCUAGCGGGUGUUGACACAAUGUGAUUUCUGCCCAGUGCUCUGAAUGUCAAAGUGAA